rnacentral:pre_miRNA from 1 species
UCAUAUGGAGGAGCAAAGAAAGUAGUUUCUUGAGAUGGGAUCUACUCCCGGUGAACGUGCUAUAAA